CGGACGGGUGAGUAACACGUGGGUAAUCUGCCUUAUACAGGGGGAUAACAGUUAGAAAUGACUGCUAAUACCGCAUAAGCGCACGGGGACGCAUGUUUCUGUGUGAAAAACUCCGGUAGUAUAAGAUGAGCCUGCGUCUGAUUAGCUGGUUGGUGGGGUAACGGCCUACCAAGGCGACGAUCAGUAGCCGGCCUGAGAGGGUGAACGGCCACAUUGGGACUGAGACACAGCCCAAACUCCUACGGAAGGCAGCAG
rnacentral:rRNA from 1 species